GAUGAACGCUGGCGGCGUGCCUAAUACAUGCAAGUCGAGCGAACAGACGAGGAGCUUGCUCCUCUGACGUUAGCGGCGGACGGGUGAGUAACACGUGGAUAACCUACCUAUAAGACUGGGAUAACUUCGGGAAACCGGUGCUAAUACCGGAUAAUAUAUUGAACCGCAUGGUUCAAUAGUGAAAGACGGUUUUGCUGUCACUUAUAGAUGGAUCCGCGCCGCAUUAGCUAGUUGGUAAGGUAACGGCUUACCAAGGCAACGAUGCGUAGCCGACCUGAGAGGGUGAUCGGCCACACUGGAACUGAGACACGGUCCAGACUCCUACGGGAGGCAGCAGUAGGGAAUCUUCCGCAAAGGGCGAAAGCCUGACGGAGCAACGCCGCGUGAGUGAUGAAGGUCUUCGGAUCGUAAAACUCUGUUAUUAGGGAAGAACAAAUGUGUAAGUAACUAUGCACGUCUUGACGGUACCUAAUCAGAAAGCCACGGCUAACUACGUG
rnacentral:rRNA from 1 species